rnacentral:rRNA from 1 species
UACGUAGGGUGCAAGCGUUAAUCGGAAUUACUGGGCGUAAAGCGUGCGCAGGCGGUUAUGUAAGACAGUUGUGAAAUCCCCGGGCUCAACCUGGGAACUGCAUCUGUGACUGCAUAGCUAGAGUACGGUAGAGGGGGAUGGAAUUCCGCGUGUAGCAGUGAAAUGCGUAGAGAUGUGGAGGAACACCGAUGGCGAAGGCAGCCCCCUGGGCUAACACUGACGCUCAGGCACGAAAGCGUGGGGAGCAAACAGG